GACGAACGCUGGCGGCGUGCCUAAUACAUGCAAGUCGAACGCAGUGGGGACGGGUGAGUAACAAGUGGGUAACCUCCCAUCUGAGUGGAGAAACCUUGGAAACAGGUGCUAAACCGAUACUGAUGGAGGAACCAGGGGUGGAUUAGCUAGUUGGUGGGGUAACGGCUCACCAAGGCCACGAUGCAUAGCCGACCUGAGAGGGUGAUCGGCCACACUGGGACUGAGACACGGCCCAGACUCCUACGGGAGGCAGCAGUAGGGAAUCUUCGGCAAUGGACGAAAGUCUGACCGAGCAACGCCGCGUGAGUGAAGAAGGUUUUCGGAUCGUAAAACUCUGUUGUUAGAGAAGCGGUAUCUAACCAGAAAGCCACGGCUAACUACGUGCCAGCAGCCGCGGUAAUAC
rnacentral:rRNA from 1 species